rnacentral:rRNA from 1 species
UGAACGCUAGCUACAGGCUAACACAUGCAAGUCGAGGGGCAGCAGGGUAGCAAUACCGCUGACGACCGGCGCACGGGUGAGUAACACGUAUCCAACCUUCCCAUAACUCAGGGAUAGCCUUUCGAAAGAAAGAUUAAUACCUGAUAGUACUUUUUCAAGGCAUCUUGAGAAAGUUAAAGAUUUAUUGGUUAUGGAUGGGGAUGCGUUCCAUUAGAUAGUUGGUGAGGUAACGGCUCACCAAGUCUUCGAUGGAUAGGGGUUCUGAGAGGAAGGUCCCCCACAUUGGUACUGAGACACGGACCAAACUCCUACGGGAGGCAGCAGUGAGGAAUAUUGGUCAAUGGGCGAGAGCCUGAACCAGCCAAGUAGCGUGAAGGAAUGAAGGUCCUAUGGAUUGUAAACUUCUUUUAUAGUAGAAUAAAGUGAUCCACGUGUGGAUUUUUGUAUGUAUACUAUGAAUAAGGAUCGGCUAACUCCGUGCCAGCCGCGGC